UACGAAGGGGGCUAGCGUUGCUCGGAAUGACUGGGCGUAAAGGGCGCGUAGGCGGUUUGUACAGUCAGGUGUGAAAUUCCCGGGCUCAACCUGGGGGCGGCACUUGAGACGUAGGAACUGGAGUGAGGAAGAGGGUCGUGGAAUUCCCAGUGUAGAGGUGAAAUUCGUAGAUAUUGGGAAGAACCCCGGUGGCGAAGGCGGCGACCUGGGCCCUUUACUGACGCUGAGGCGCGAAAGCGUGGGGAGCAAACAGG
rnacentral:rRNA from 1 species